rnacentral:rRNA from 1 species
ACGAACGCUGGCGGCACGCUUAACACAUGCAAGUCGAACGAGAGAAGAGAAGCUUGCUUUUCUGAUCUAGUGGCGGACGGGUGAGUAACACGUGAGCAAUCUGCCUUUCAGAGGGGGAUACCGAUUGGAAACGAUCGUUAAUACCGCAUAACAUAAUUGAACCGCAUGAUUUGAUUAUCAAAGAUUUAUCGCUGAAAGAUGAGCUCGCGUCUGAUUAGCUAGUUGGUAAGGUAACGGCUUACCAAGGCGACGAUCAGUAGCCGGACUGAGAGGUUGAUCGGCCACAUUGGGACUGAGACACGGCCCAGACUCCUACGGGAGGCAGCAGUGGGGAAUAUUGCACAAUGGAGGAAACUCUGAUGCAGCGAUGCCGCGUGAGGGAAGAAGGUUUUAGGAUUGUAAACCUCUGUCUUCAGGGACGAAAAAUGACGGUACCUGAGGAGGAAGCUCCGGCUAACUACGUGCCAGCAGCCGCGGUAAUACGUAGGGAGCGAGCGUUGUCCGGAAUUACUGGGUGUAAAGGGAGCGUAGGCGGGAUCGCAAGUCAGAUGUGAAAACUAUGGGCUUAACCCAUAAACUGCAUUUGAAACUGUGGUUCUUGAGUGAAGUAGAGGUAAGCGGAAUUCCUAGUGUAGCGGUGAAAUGCGUAGAUAUUAGGAGGAACAUCAGUGGCGAAGGCGGCUUACUGGGCUUUAACUGACGCUGAGGCUCGAAAGCGUGGGGAGCAAACAGGAUUAGAUACCCUGGUAGUCCACGCCGUAAACGAUGAUUACUAGGUGUGGGGGGACUGACCCCUUCCGUGCCGCAGCAAACGCAAUAAGUAAUCCACCUGGGGAGUACGACCGCAAGGUUGAAACUCAAAGGAAUUGACGGGGGCCCGCACAAGCAGUGGAGUAUGUGGAUUAAUUCGAAGCAACGCGAAGAACCUUACCAGGUCUUGACAUCGUAUGCAUAGCUCAGAGAUGAGUGAAAUCUCUUCGGAGACAUAUAGACAGGUGGUGCAUGGUUGUCGUCAGCUCGUGUCGUGAGAUGUUGGGUUAAGUCCCGCAACGAGCGCAACCCUUACUGUUAGUUGCUACGCAAGAGCACUCUAGCAGGACUGCCGUUGACAAAACGGAGGAAGGUGGGGAUGACGUCAAAUCAUCAUGCCCCUUAUGACCUGGGCCUCACACGUACUACAAUGGCUGUCAACAGAGGGAAGCAAAGCCGCGAGGUGGAGCAAACCCCUAAAAGCAGUCUUAGUUCGGAUUGUAGGCUGCAACCCGCCUACAUGAAGUCGGAAUUGCUAGUAAUCGCAGAUCAGCAUGCUGCGGUGAAUACGUUCCCGGGCCUUGUACACACCGCCCGUCACGCCAUGGGAGUCGGUAACACCCGAAGCCUGUAGUCUAACCGCAAGGAGGACGCAGUCGAAGGUGGGAUUGAUGACUGGGGUG